GAUGAAGAACGUAGCGAAAUGCGAUAAGUAAUGUGAAUUGCAGAAUUCAGUGAAUCAUCGAAUCUUUGAACGCACCUUGCGCCCUUUGGACUUCUGAAGGGCAUGCCUGUUUGAGUAUCAUGAACACCUCAACUCCUUAUGGUCUUCCAUGAUGAGCUUGGACUUUGGGGGUUUUGCUGGCCUACAGUCAGCUCCUCUAAAAUAAAUCAGCUUACCGGUGUUUGGUGGGUAUCAUGGGUGUGAUAACUAUCUACGCUCGUGGUUUUCCACCAGGUAACCUUCAGCAGUGGAGGUUCACUGGAGCUCAUAGAUGUCUCUCCUCAGCGUGGACAGCCCUUUGAAUGUUUGAUCUCAAAUCAGGUAGGACUACCCGCUGAACUUAAGCAUAUCAAUAAGCGGAGGA
rnacentral:misc_RNA from 1 species